AGUGAACGCUGGCGGUAGGCCUAACACAUGCAAGUCGAGCGGCAGCACAGUAAGAGCUUGCUCUUACUGGUGGCGAGUGGCGGACGGGUGAGGAAUACAUCGGAAUCUACUUUUUCUUGGGGGAUAACGUAGGGAAACUUACGCUAAUACCGCAUACUACCUACGGGUGAAAGCAGGGGUUCUUCGGACCUUGCGCGAUUGAAUGAGCCGAUGUCGGAUUAGCUAGUUGGCUGGGUAAAGGCCCACCAAGGCGACGAUCCGUAGCUGGUCUGAGAGGAUGAUCAGCCACACUGGAACUGAGACACGGUCCAGACUCCUACGGGAGGCAGCAGUGGGGAAUAUUCGGCAAUGGGCGAAAGCCUGACGCAGCCAUACCGCGUGAGUGAAGAAGGCCUUCGGGUUGUAAAGCUCUUUUGUUGGGAAAGAAAAGAAGCAGGUGAAUACCCCGAUGUUCUGACGGUACCCAAAGAAUAAGCACCGGCUAACUUCGUG
rnacentral:rRNA from 1 species